UUUGCUCUUAGACAUUCGGUCCUGUACUAUAUAGGAGCAAUGCCCGUCGAAGACCCUUGCAUCGUUUUUUUUCUUUGGUUUUUGUUAGUAUCAAGUCUAAGUGUCAUUAGGUUAUGAUUUUAAAAUACAUGCUAUGGAAAGCAACUAUUCUUGACAACUUGACUCUUAAUCUCUGACAAUUUGAGUGUGUAAUUCUUUUAAUCAAAGCUACCAAGAUAUUCGAGAAAGUUCCCGUUUGUCUAAAGGAAGAAACCUGAUUGGCUGAGAAACAGGAUCGUUUUUACCUCCGGACCAAGUAACUUGAAGACCGCAGGAUACAUAUCCGCAUGAAGACAUUCAUGACGAUUGGGAAAUCAAUUAAAGUUUCGGAUCUGAGAAGAACCCUCAUUAAAAAGUAAGCAAGUUGUGCUGGCUGUUUUCUCAAAUCCUUCCAAGAACUAAAAUCUGAAAAUGGAACCUGCCGCUGAACAAAAUGGCUUCCAGCAAAUGCGCCUACAUGACAAGAUGAUAGAUCUAAUCUCCAAUACACAGGAAAAUUGCAUUCAUCAAACCGUUCACAAUCACACAACGAUUAGGCCUGAAACUUUAGAUGAAAUUCGACUCGAUUGCGUUACGGAAAAUCGAACGUCAGACCCUAAGCAGGCCACGUGUCUUGUCCAGACCCCAUUUCAGUCUCAAGAUGAACGGCCACCGCACGUUUGUGUCGAAAUCGAGCCUACGCAACCCCAUCGAACCCAGGAUAAAAAUGAACAAAGCAAGUCAUUCUUCUCCGUUUACUGCAACUAUUCACGGUUUUGGAAACGAUGCUCCGAUAUUUUUAGCUUCAAGAAAGACGAAGUUUCGCCCAUUGACCUGAACGAAUCUUUUAAUGAAGACGAAGAUGACGAGUCGCUGGACUUGGACGAGUCCAGCGAAUCGGACUAUGACAAGUGGGAGCGUAUCUUUGAUACUUCCAAUUCCAGACUAGAACUCUUGACUAGUGAAACUGACGGAAGCUGGUCGAGUGGACCAUGGUAUCCGUAAGUAUUUACUUAUGCCUCUUCAAAUACAAUGAUUAAUUUAAA